ACUUGUACUGUGAAACUACGAAUGGCUCAUUAAAUCAGUUAUGGUUUCUUUGAUGGUACCUUGCUACUUGGAUACCCGUAGUAAUUCUAGAGCUAAUACAUGCAGGAGUGCCCGACUUCGGAAGGGCUGUAUUUAUUAGAUAAGAAACCUUCUCGGGUUCGCCCGGUUGUGUGCUGAGUCAUAAUAACUGCUCGAAUCGCACGGCUCUACGCCGGCGAUGGUUCAUUCAAAUUUCUGCCCUAUCAGCUUUCGAUGGUAGGAUAGAGGCCUACCAUGGCGUUAACGGGUAACGGAGAAUUAGGGUUCGAUUCCGGAGAGGGAGCCUGAGAAAUGGCUACCACAUCCAAGGAAGGCAGCAGGCGCGUAAAUUGCCCGAAUCCUGACACAGGGAGGUAGUGACAAGAAAUAACAAUACAGGGCUACUUCUAGUCUUGUAAUUGGAAUGAGUACAACUUACAUCUCUUCACGAGGAUCAACUGGAGGGCAAGUCUGGUGCCAGCAGCCGCGGUAAUUCCAGCUCCAGAAGCGUAUAUUAAAGUUGUUGCAGUUAAAACGCCCGUAGUCGGGCUUCGGGUCGGGCCGAGCGGUCUGCCGAUGGGUAUGCACUGUUUGGCGCGGCCUUCUUUCCGGAGACCGCGGCUACUCUUAACUGAGCGGGCGUGGGAGACGGAUCGUUUACUUUGAAAAAAUCAGAGUGUUUCAAGCAGGCAG
rnacentral:rRNA from 1 species